rnacentral:rRNA from 1 species
GACGAACGCUGGCGGCGUGCUUAACACAUGCAAGUCGCACGAAGUGGCGAACGGGUGAGUAAUACGUGGGUAACCUGCCCUUCAGAGGGGGACAACAGUUGGAAACGACUGCUAAUACCGCAUCCUGAAGGCGGGGAUUGCGUCUGAUUAGCUAGUUGGAGGGGUAACGGCCCACCAAGGCGAUGAUCAGUAGCCGGUCUGAGAGGAUGAACGGCCACAUUGGGACUGAGACACGGCCCAGACUCCUACGGGAGGCAGCAGUGGGGAAUCUUCCGCAAUGGACGACAGUCUGACGGAGCAACGCCGCGUGAAUGAGGACGGCCUUCGGGUUUUAAAGCUCUGUUAAUCGGGACGCGGUACCGGAAUAGAAAGCCACGGCUAACUACGUGCCAGCAGCCGCGGUAAUAC